rnacentral:rRNA from 1 species
UACGUAGGGUGCGAGCGUUAAUCGGAAUUACUGGGCGUAAAGCGUGCGCAGGCGGUUCGUUGUGUCGGCGGUGAAAGCCCCGGGCUUAACCUGGGAAUGGCCGUCGAAACUGGCGAACUGGAGUGUGGCAGAGGGGGUGGAAUUCCGCGUGUAGCAGUGAAAUGCGUAGAGAUGCGGAGGAACACCGAUGGCGAAGGCAGCCCCCUGGGCUGACACUGACGCUCAGGCACGAAAGCGUGGGGAGCAAACAGG